UUCCUCUGCACAGGUUUUGAUAAAUCUCCCCCAUUGUACUUCUUUAGCAGUCAGCGCAAAAGAUUUAAAAUGUCUAAACGGUAGAACAGGUUGCUGUAAAGAGAAAAGGUUACAUUCAAGGUAACCUUAUCGUAAUUGUAGAUCGAGGACUGGAAUGGCAGAAAGCCCUAUUGUUUUCUGGAUAAGCCAAGAUAAACAAGGCCUAGACCUGUGUUCCCUAACCCGUGGCUCUCCAGCUGUUUCAGAACUACAUCACCCAUCAUUCCCGAACGAGUGGAAAGGCCAUAGAUUGGGGAAAACCGGCCUAGAUGAACAGGAGCAAUGACAAGUGGGAUACCCCAUAGGGGGAAGAAAAACAAUAGCAGAUCAUUUAUUAGAGGAAAAUUUCUUGUUCUGAAUCCACUACAAAUAGAAAAAAUGGAUAGGAAGAGAUGAGGCAGUGGUCGCUGCAGGGUGUUGCUUUUCGUAUGCCAAUCUGGACGAAGCACAAACAUUCAGAAGACUCAACACACAAAAUAAAGAACUGCUAUCAACAUAUUAAAUA